UAGUUCUGCUACGGAGCUACAACACUUGUGUGGAUGGAGAUCAUUUUUGGUUCAAAAAAUGAAAACGUAGUAGUGUAGAUGUAUCCUCAGCCUGGUUGUGACUUCAUCCAUCAUGAGGGUGCAGAUCUAAUACAACAACUGUUCUCAGGCACUUUCACAAGCAGUGUUGAAACAUUUGGUCAAACUCAUCUGACC